ACAUUUUUAUAAUGUUAAAAGAAAGUUUAGCACUUUGACGAUGCUCUGCGAGUGCGACGGCGUCACGGCCUGAAAACCUAAUCCACGGGUCUAUAUCGGAUAAUGUAGUUAGUGAGGGCGUAUAUAGAUUUUAAAUGCAUAGUAACGUUAUGGCAUAGUUUGCAUUAAAUAAAUAUUUUGAUUUUCAGUGUGUGUCAGGGAACGCAAGUUAAGAUAGCUGGCUGCACUAUCAAAGCUAACGUUAAAUAUUCAGGGGCAUGCACGUCUAUUUUUAUAUAUCAAAGUAACGUCAAGUAAAUGGGUUAUGUAGUGUAGUUUUUAUGGGGCUCUCAGUUGGACACACAGGUGGACUAACGUUACCAGAUUUUGGGAAAGUAACGUUACUCGAAAUCUGUUUGGUGGAUGGAAACAUAUUUUUAUUAUCGAACUGUUCAGUGUUCACAGCUGGCUUCUUGGAGCAUCGAAGGUGUUAUGAGCUUAUCAAAAGAGACCCCGUGGUAACUGUGGUGGUGCAACUACAUCCCCCGGUUGCAUAAAGUUACCCUGUUGAAGGAAAGCUGCUCGACACCUCGAGGAUGUUCACGUUACAAUAAGGUGUUGUUAAUGUACUGUUUGCCUAAUGCUAUCAUUUUAAUACAUUUGCUGUAGAUUGUGUAGUUCUUUUCUCAUUGUACAUUGUCUCCUCGUCUUUUUUUUUCAGUCUUAUUUUGUCACUGUGCCUCUCAUUGGUUGCAUACCCUGUUGAAGGAAAGCUGCUUGUUUAUUGAGGACGUUCACGUUACAAUAAGAAAGAAAAUCAUAGGUGAUGAGCCACUCAUCUCUGUAGUCAUGGACAGGUGGCCUGCAUUAUGUGAUCAGAGACAGAUAAGUGCAAAGUUCAAUAGAAUAGUCACUACAGGUUUGCUGCAGUCCAGCCGUGGUGGUGGAGGAGACGAUUGUUCUUUAUAACUUCAGAGAUGUGCUCACUGCUUUUGCUAUGCUAAUGGGAACCUACUGCCUAAUCCUCCAAUAUGAAGUACUCGUUUGAAUUCCUGCAGAAGGUUGUCAUGAGGAUUAAACCUGACCACUGUUCAGCUCGGAUACACGGACUUGGAAAUAAACUGCUGAGGUAUCCUUUAUAGACUGGUGCCAAGCCUUAAAGGAAUAGUUUACUUAAAUAUGAAAAUUCUGUCAUAUUUUUCUUACUUUCAUGUCAUGCGUAUAUGAUAUCCAUUCUUUAGUGUAACAGAGUUAUUGUGACUCUUCCUUGUUUUAUAAUGCUGUUGAUGGAUAUGUGUGAGGAAUGGAAGUCAUACACACCUAGGAUGACUUGAGGGUGAAUCAGUUAUAACAGAAUUUUCAUAUUUAAGUAAACUAUUCCUUUAACUGGAUGGAGAUGGUGUGCUGACUUGUAUAGGCGUGUUCUGAAAAGGACAUUUAAAUGCUGGUAUAUCUGAGAGCUUUAGUUACUUGACUUUGUUAGAUUAAUUUGUAAUUUAGCUUAUACUUAAAUGAAAACUGUCUGAUUGUUUUGCACUGUUGAUGUUUUGUUAGCAUUGAAUAUAUCUGUUUUUAUUGCAACUAAGAACGAUUUUACUAUGUUAAUGUUCAGCGUAAUAAAUGGACAAGUAUUGUUUGAACCAUUCAUAUGUCAAAAAGGUAUGUGAACUGGUUCAUAA